AGUCGAGCGAGAAAAGGGGAGCAAUCUCCUGAGUAAAGCGGCGAACGGGUGAGUAACAGGUGGGUAACGUGCCCUAAAGUGGGGAAUAACCCGGGGAAACUCGGGCUAAUACCGCAUAUGGCCGUUUGGACUUUGGUUCGAACGGUUAAAGGCUUCGGUCGCUUUAGGAUCGGCCCGCCCCUGAUUAGCUAGUUGGUGAGGUAACGGCUCACCAAGGCAACUAUCAGUAGCUGGUCUGAGAGGAUGGUCAGCCACACUGGGACUGAGAUACGGCCCAGACUCCUACGGGGGGCAGCAGUCUAGAGGCUUCGGCAAUGGGGGAAACCCUGACCGAGCGACGCCGCGUGUGGGAUUGAAGGCGUUUACGUCGUAAACCACUGUUGGGGGGGAAGAAUGCCCGAAUGGCGAAUUCGGGAGCGACGGUACCCCCUGAGGAAGCCCCGGCUAACUCCGUGCCAGCAGCCGCGGUAAUACGGGGGGGGCAAGCGUUGUUCGGAUUUACUGGGCGUAAAGGGAGCGUAGGCUGUUGGUUAAGUCCGAUGUGAAAUCUUCACCGCUUAACGGGAAGUUGUCAUCGGAAACUGGCCAGCUAGAGUAAGGUAGAGGCAAGCGGAAUUCCUGGUGUAGCGGUGGAAUGUGUAGAUAUCAGGAAGAACAUCUGUGGCGAAGGCGGCUUGCUGG
rnacentral:rRNA from 1 species